rnacentral:rRNA from 1 species
UUAAAUUGAAGAGUUUGAUCAUGGCUCAGAUUGAACGCUGGCGGCAGGCCUAACACAUGCAAGUCGAACGGUAACAGAAAGCAGCUUGCUGCUUUGCUGACGAGUGGCGGACGGGUGAGUAAUGUCUGGGAAACUGCCCGAUGGAGGGGGAUAACUACUGGAAACGGUAGCUAAUACCGCAUAACGUCGCAAGACCAAAGAGGGGGACCUUAGGGCCUCUUGCCAUCGGAUGUGCCCAGAUGGGAUUAGCUAGUAGGUGGGGUAAAGGCUCACCUAGGCGACGAUCCCUAGCUGGUCUGAGAGGAUGACCAGCCACACUGGAACUGAGACACGGUCCAGACUCCUACGGGAGGCAGCAGUGGGGAAUAUUGCACAAUGGGCGCAAGCCUGAUGCAGCCAUGCCGCGUGUAUGAAGAAGGCCUUCGGGUUGUAAAGUACUUUCAGCGGGGAGGAAGGGAGUAAAGUUAAUACCUUUGCUCAUUGACGUUACCCGCAGAAGAAGCACCGGCUAACUCCGUGCCAGCAGCCGCGGUAAUACGGAGGGUGCAAGCGUUAAUCGGAAUUACUGGGCGUAAAGCGCACGCAGGCGGUUUGUUAAGUCAGAUGUGAAAUCCCCGGGCUCAACCUGGGAACUGCAUCUGAUACUGGCAAGCUUGAGUCUCGUAGAGGGGGGUAGAAUUCCAGGUGUAGCGGUGAAAUGCGUAGAGAUCUGGAGGAAUACCGGUGGCGAAGGCGGCCCCCUGGACGAAGACUGACGCUCAGGUGCGAAAGCGUGGGGAGCAAACAGGAUUAGAUACCCUGGUAGUCCACGCCGUAAACGAUGUCGACUUGGAGGUUGUGCCCUUGAGGCGUGGCUUCCGGAGCUAACGCGUUAAGUCGACCGCCUGGGGAGUACGGCCGCAAGGUUAAAACUCAAAUGAAUUGACGGGGGCCCGCACAAGCGGUGGAGCAUGUGGUUUAAUUCGAUGCAACGCGAAGAACCUUACCUGGUCUUGACAUCCACGGAAGUUUUCAGAGAUGAGAAUGUGCCUUCGGGAACCGUGAGACAGGUGCUGCAUGGCUGUCGUCAGCUCGUGUUGUGAAAUGUUGGGUUAAGUCCCGCAACGAGCGCAACCCUUAUCCUUUGUUGCCAGCGGUCCGGCCGGGAACUCAAAGGAGACUGCCAGUGAUAAACUGGAGGAAGGUGGGGAUGACGUCAAGUCAUCAUGGCCCUUACGACCAGGGCUACACACGUGCUACAAUGGCGCAUACAAAGAGAAGCGACCUCGCGAGAGCAAGCGGACCUCAUAAAGUGCGUCGUAGUCCGGAUUGGAGUCUGCAACUCGACUCCAUGAAGUCGGAAUCGCUAGUAAUCGUGGAUCAGAAUGCCACGGUGAAUACGUUCCCGGGCCUUGUACACACCGCCCGUCACACCAUGGGAGUGGGUUGCAAAAGAAGUAGGUAGCUUAACCUUCGGGAGGGCGCUUACCACUUUGUGAUUCAUGACUGGGGUGAAGUCGUAACAAGGUAACCGUAGGGGAACCUGCGGUUGGAUCACCUCCUUACCUUAAAGAAGC